CUCAUCUUUUCUUUCCUUUCUUCUCAUGAAGGCCGAAGCUUGCUAAGGAAAAAGGGCAAGGAAGUUCUUGAAGAUUUAGGCAAAACUAGUAAAAUUCUAUCAUACAAAACUUAUAGCUUUAGGUCUUGUAAUCCUAAAUCUCCAUUCUUUUCACCUUGGAAAGUUUUAUAUCUUGAGUUAGCCUUCUAUAAAGCGGGCUGCUACUGUUCAUCCAAGGUGUAGAAGUUGGGUUUUCUUCAAGUCCUUAAGUUGGAAUAUGCUGUUUAUGUUCAAGUGAAGCUAUUUAAGAGUGUAAUCGGACGAAGUAGGUGGACGAACAACUUGUAGACAACCAAGUUACGGUGUAUUAAAUAGCAAGUUAGCAGCAGGAAAGAUGUGACAGGAAGUGGACUCUUGGGUGGAGACUGCUCUAUAAACCCCAAGUUUAUUGAGAUUCAUUCUCACCCCGCGUUAUGGGGACAUAUUUCAGGUAUCGCAGCAGUUGACGAUCGUUCUCGGGGCAAGAGGCCCGUGGUUGAUGAGUAGAUCUGAGCAUAGAGGUUGCCUGCUUAUUUUGGGAGUCUGUAGUAUUUAUAUGUUACACUGUAAUCUGGUUAUUUGAUAUUUUGCCGAUGCAUGGUUAUUAGCUGGGCUUUCUAAGAGGCUAUACGCCUGUGUACAGAUGUUAUUUGUGAUACUGUGAUGUAUUAUGUUUAUGUAGGUUGAUGUAGGAUGUUGUAGUUAGGGCACAAAGCCACCUUUUUGAUGUGAUAUAUAUAGUGUUAUGGAUCAUUUCUGCAUGCUACUG